rnacentral:rRNA from 1 species
RGUGGGAGGAUUCAGUCGAAUGGUAGGAGUGUGCGUGUCGAUACUUGUAAGGUUCCGCGACUGGUACCGCUUCGGCUGCACACUCUCUAGCUUGUUUGACGCAAUUCUUUCCCGCCCGAAGGACGCCGCAACCGGUUGGGAAACGGCCUGAGAACCGGCGUUGGUAGGUGGCCGGCGUCUGUCCUCGUGGCGGGCGUCGGUGACUUGGCCUGUCGGAAGUGGCUCGUAUCCCGACCGCUGUGUUACGAAGUCCCCCCACAUGGGCUUCACCGCCUCCUCUCCUGUAGAUACGGAUAGACGUGGCAGUGGUUCUCCGUACUGCGGGCGCACAGGCUUACCCUGUGGCCGCGCGGUAGAGAGGCCAUGAUGUCGCCGCGCGGGGUCCGUUGGAGUGCUGGCGGUUAGCGGCGAGUAGAUCGGUCACCCACCCGACCCGUCUUGAAACACGGACCAAGGAGUCUAACAUGUGUGCGAGUCAAUGGGACUCGAAAAAGCCCAGAGGCGUAAUGAAAGCAAAGGUCGGAUUUGUCGCCGACCGUGUUGGGAUCCUUCCGCCUUUGCGCGGAAGGCGCACCAACGACCCGUUCUAUCCGACUUGUCGGUUGGGCGGAGUUUGAGCAUACACGUUAGGACCCGAAAGAUGGUGAACUAUGCCCAGGCAGAACGAAGCCAGAGGAAACUCUGAUGGAGGUUCGCAGCGGUUCUGACG